UCGGGUGUGGUGUACGGCGCACCGCUGCUGAGCAUGACAAAUGAUGGUUUAGAGUGUUUGCAGCUGGACGGGGUUCGACUCCCCGCAUCCGAA